rnacentral:rRNA from 1 species
UGGGGAAUAUUGCACAAUGGGCGCAAGCCUGAUGCAGCCAUGCCGCGUGUAUGAAGAAGGCCUUCGGGUUGUAAAGUACUUUCAGCGGGGAGGACGGGAGUAAAGUUAAUACCUUUGCUCAUUGACGUUACCCGCAGAAGAAGCACCGGCUAACUCCGUGCCAGCAGCCGCGGUAAUACGGAGGGUGCAAGCGUUAAUCGGAAUUACUGGGCGUAAAGCGCACGCAGGCGGUUUGUUAAGUCAGAUGUGAAAUCCCCGGGCUCAACCUGGGAACUGCAUCUGAUACUGGCAAGCUUGAGUCUCGUAGAGGGGGGUAGAAUUCCAGGUGUAGCGGUGAAAUGCGUAGAGAUGUGGAGGAAUACCGGUGGCGAAGGCGGCCCCCUGGACAAAGACUGACGCUCAGGUGCGAAAGCGUGGGGAGCAAACAGG